rnacentral:sRNA from 1 species
AACUAAUUUUAUUUGUAUUUCCUCAAAAAAAAAUGAGGAGAUUGCAUUUCCUCAAAAAAUUUCCUCAAAAGUUUCAGAUUUUUCUUUUUUCUUUAAUAUGCAUAUAGCUUUUUUCCCAAAAUCCAUUAUCUGUAUAUACAUUUUUGAAACCAUUUUGUGAAAUAAAUCAUGUAGUUGAGACUUAUUUACAAUGGCUGCCACUGGAUUUUAAUGUUUGUUUUUGAUAAUUAGAAAGAAAAUCUUCGAAUUAAAUUGUGACAUUUAACCAUCUUCCUAAAAUCUCUCCACAUUAACUACACGAUUAUUUACUGAAAUAAAACUUCCAAAAUAUUUAAUAUCAUUUAAUUACUACAAAAUUAUCAUUUUUGAUAUUGUUUUUCUCCAUGACUAUAACAAUUCGAUUAUAAUCAUCAAAGCGCAGAGAUAUAAUUUGAUAGCAUUUAAUUACUACAAAAUUACAAAAUAUUUAGACAAUGAUUCAUAAAUAUAUCAUAAAUAAGAUCAACAUUAAUAAAAUAAAUGGAUUUUUUUUACGGGACGGGUUUGACAGGACGUUACUUAAUAACAUUUGUAAAUUAUAAAAUAAAA